GAACGAGUUCAGGCUAUUCUCGAUUGGACUCCUCCGAAGAACGUUAAGCAAGUCAGAAGUUUUCUCGGUCUCGCCAGCUACUGCCGUCGAUUCGUCGAGAACUUCUCCAAGAUUGCCAGGCCUCUGACUAACCUAUUGCAUAAGGGCGUCAAGUUCCAGUGGACAGACAAAUGUCAGGAAAGCUUCCAGGCACUCAAAGACAAGUUGACUUCUGCCCCAGUACUAGCUCUGCCUGAUACUAAGAAGGACUUCGUCAUUUACUGCGACGCUUCCCGUCAAGGAUUAGGCUGUGUCCUAAUGCAAGAGCGCAAAGUGGUUGCUUAUGCCUCUCGUCAAUUGCGCCCUCACGAAGAGAACUACCCAGUUCACGACCUCGAACUUGCUGCUGUCAUUCAUGCACUAAAACAGUGGCGACAUUACCUACUCGGUAAUCGUUGCGAGAUCUUCACCGACCAUCAAAGUCUGAAGUAUCUGUUUACUCAACCAGACCUGAACCUCCGUCAGCAGAGAUGGAUGGAGACUGUUGCAGACUUUGAUUUGGGUAUUUCCUAUACACCAGGCAAGGCUAAUGUAAUGGCUGAUGCCUUGAGCCGCAAGUCUUACUGCAACCACCUCCAGGUUCACAAAGUUCAUCCCUCACUUGUUGAAGAAUUCAGAAAGCUAAACCUCCAUAUUGUUCCUCCGGGUGCACUCGCUCCCCCUCCCCCGGAGUUCCGCAAGAUGAAUCUCCGUGUUGUUUCCCAGGGUUCCCUCUAUACCCUGGCUGUUGAACCCGAUCUCGUGGGCACCAUUAAGACAAUGCAGGGAUUUGACUCUGAAGUCUACAAGAUUAAGCAAGACCUCAAAGAAGGAAGUCCCUCAUCCUUCACUAUUGCCGAUGAUGGCGCCUUGUACUUCAAAGGCCGCCUAGUGGUGCCGUGUAAGAAGGAAAACCUGAAUAUGACCCAGGAGGUUAUGAAAGAAGCUCAUGAUACGCCUCUUUGUAUCCAUCCUGGUAGUACGAAGAUGUAUCAAGACAUCCGCCAGAGAUUCUGGUGGUCUAACAUGAAGCAAGAC
rnacentral:rRNA from 1 species